AUGCACAUGUGUUCAGCACAGAGAUUCUUGAUUUCCUGAGUUUAACAGGCUGUUGAUUGUUUCCAUUUUUCAACAGGUCCACUUUGAGUCUUUUCCCUCUCACAGAUGGAUCUGCAUGGAGCCAUUCAGGACACGGAGAGAGGUAUGAACUCCUCUUCCUCUUUUUGGGUGGAACUGCUAAGCCUCUCCAGUUUUCAACAGCUUCUUCAUCUGUUGGAUGGAUGUUUGUGACAGUGUCAGACUUCCCAGAGCAGGAAGCAUCCACCUCUGGCCUUCCAUCAAUCCUGCAGGUUGUGAAAAAACACGCAUGUUGCCUUCAAUGAAGGACAGAUGUCGAGCAAUGAAUCGAUCCACUCGAAUAGGCAAGUGUUCAUGCUUGAAAAGGCCGCGUUUGAUGUUUUUAAACUCGGCUUCGACAUUGGCUGAACUUGCAGUGAUUUUGGAGCUCCGGAAGUGAGGGAUCAUUACCCCUGUCCAGAGAGGUCUGUCUGUGUUUGGUCACAUGGAUCCACUUCUUCCAGGUCCGCACCCUCUACAUCUGGAAUGAUGACACACUCUUCUGCAAUUCUGGCUUUUAGCAGUCCCACCGGCAGAUCAUCUUGAUGCAGUGAGCAACAUCAACCUGCACGAAACAAGCAUUUGCACCACUGGGACACUUGAGCUCUCACCCCCUGCCACAACACCCUGAUAAAGGAAUAUAUGGCCAGACUUGCCAUUUGGUCUCUGUAGUUUCCUCACCACUGAGCCAGUUGCAUCAAAACUCACAGUGGGGGUGGCCAAAUUAGGCAGAUGACUUGGCUCAGGAUCUCCAAAAUCCAUCAGCUUUAUUGCCUCUGAUGCCCUCCAUACAUGGGGUUCCUUUCUACCUUCACACAGUUCUUUGGAUAUCUGCACACGCAAGUUACCAGACAUCGGACGUUUGGAACAGCCAGUGUGCAGGGAGUCAUCAGUGUUUUUAAGUGAACACCUGAACAUCAUUGUGCUGUUUAUUUCAGGCUUUUUGUCACAUUUAUGUGAAUUUGGCCACGACACUCCUUACAGUUGCCUCUGAUUACAAUAUAUUUGUCUGUGACUGAUGGAUAGACUUUGGCUCUUUUAAAAGUAAAUGUGCAGGGGCAUUUCACUUCUUGCCAAAUGUGAUGAUUUAUCACAUGCGUCCAGAUACCAGGCUUCAAAAUUGUGUAUUCCUUUUUUUUUGUUUUAGAGAACUUGUUUUUGUAUGUCACUGUUUCAGGCAUAAAUUCAAUCCAUUUCUAAAAUGGAACUUCAAAAUCAAAAUUGCAGCAAUCUUUUGGACUGGAGGAAAGCGACCCUGGCUCAAAAUCAGUGUCAUCACUACUGCCACUUGUUUCAUGAUCACUUUCAUGAGUAAACCCUAAAGCAUUCCAGAUGUUGUGUCUGUUUAAUUUAACAAAAGUGUAUAGUGCCUUUGCAGUGAUCUUGUUGUCUAGCUGUUUACUAAGCUCUGUCCAGAUGCUCUCAUUAGGAGUAGCUAUGUUGCCAUUUUGGAUUAUGGCCUCUUUUGAUGAACACAGGACUGUGAAAAUGGAAUCCCUGUCGACUGCUGGUUUCUUGGGCAUCUGGCAUAAGCAAAACAUAAUUACCCUCAAUUAUUCUGAUUCCAAAAAAUAUCAUGUACAGCAUAAAUUUGUUUUAAUAUAUUACUGUAUUGGUCUGAAUAUAAUGAUCAUAUAAUAUAGUAAGGAUAAUGUAGAUGGAUAAUAUAUCUUAUAUUAGGACCAAUAUGGUAAUGUUCACCCCUAGAUUGUCAUUUUUUAUUGAACUGAAAAUUCAUUGCUAACACUAUCACUAAUUUAGCUAUGAAAUGUUAAAUACAGUUGCACCCAUGGUCGUUUUUUAAUACUAAAAUGAAACUUUGUGCAACUGUAAAUAGCAUUUCAUAGCUAAAUUAGUAAUAGAAGUGUUAUUAUUGAGGUUUCUGUUCAAUAACAAGGUUAGCUCUCUUGAAUGUUGUACAAUAUUCUUGCAGCUACUAGUAUUGUAACAGACAGUUUUAAAACAAUGUAUACUUACAUUGUUCAGAAAUUUGGAUUAGUAACGACUUUUGUAGUUUGAUUUAUAUCGACCUUUUCUCCACUAACUCUACACAAUUUUAUACAAGAGCAUUCUUGAAUGGAAGUGUCACUUGCCCCUAGUGGUGGGAGUGGAGUGUAGCAGAUGAGACUCGUAAAAAU